rnacentral:rRNA from 1 species
UACGUAGGGGGGCUAGCGUUGCUCGGAAUCACUGGGCGUAAAGCGCACGUAGGCGGCUUUUUAAGUCAGGGGUGAAAUCCUGGAGCUCAACUCCAGAACUGCCUUUGAUACUGGAGAGCUUGAGUCCGGAAGAGGUGAGUGGAACUCCGAGUGUAGAGGUGAAAUUCGUAGAUAUUCGGAAGAACACCAGUGGCGAAGGCGGCUCACUGGUCCGGUGCUGACGCUGAGGUGCGAAAGCGUGGGGAGCAAACAGG